AUUGAACGCUGGCGGCAGGCCUAACACAUGCGAGUCGAGCGGAUGAAGGGAGCUUGCUCCUGGAUUCAGCGGCGGACGGGUGAGUAAUGCCUAGGAAUCUGCCUGGUAGUGGGGGAUAACGUCCGGAAACGGGCGCUAAUACCGCAUACGUCCUGAGGGAGAAAGUGGGGGAUCUUCGGACCUCACGCUAUCAGAUGAGCCUAGGUCGGAUUAGCUAGUUGGUGGGGUAAGGCCUACCAAGGCGACGAUCCGUAACUGGUCUGAGAGGAUGAUCAGUCACACUGGAACUGAGACACGGUCCAGACUCCUACGGGAGGCAGCAGUGGGGAAUAUUGGACAAUGGGCGAAAGCCUGAUCCAGCCAUGCCGCGUGUGUGAAGAAGGUCUUCGGAUUGUAAAGCACUUUAAGUUGGGAGGAAGGGCAGUAAGUUAAUACCUUGCUGUUUUGACGUUACCAACAGAAUAAGCACCGGCUAACUUCGUG
rnacentral:rRNA from 1 species